rnacentral:tRNA from 28 species
GGACCCGUAGCUCAGCUGGAUAGAGCGUUGCCCUCCGAAGGCAAAGGUCACGCGUUCGAAUCGCGUCGGGUCCACCA